UGCUACUCCGGAAUCGUUUUACAGAAGGUCUAGAAGAGCUGUGUAAAAACACGACGCAACAGAUUGCCAUGACAAGAAGACGUAUAUAGAAGGCAAGUUAUUUUCGAUUUGGUGGAAGUGGCAACUACUGAAACAUGGAGAAAAUGGUGC